rnacentral:rRNA from 1 species
UUGCUUUCUUUGCUGGCGACCGGCGCACGGGUGAGUAACACGUAUCCAACCUGCCCUUUACUCGGGGAUAGCCUUUCGAAAGAAAGAUUAAUACCCGAUAGCAUAAUGAUUCCGCAUGGUUUCAUUAUUAAAGGAUUCCGGUAAAGGAUGGGGAUGCGUUCCAUUAGGUUGUUGGUGAGGUAACGGCCCACCAAGCCUUCGAUGGGUAGGGGUUCUGAGAGGAAGGUCCCCCACAUUGGAACUGAGACACGGUCCAA